rnacentral:rRNA from 1 species
AGUGAACGCUGGCGGUAGGCCUAACACAUGCAAGUCGAACGGCAGCACAGUAAGAGCUUGCUCUUACGGGUGGCGAGUGGCGGACGGGUGAGGAAUACAUCGGAAUCUACUUUUUCGUGGGGGAUAACGUAGGGAAACUUACGCUAAUACCGCAUACGACCUACGGGUGAAAGCAGGGGAUCUUCGGACCUUGCGCGAUUGAAUGAGCCGAUGUCGGAUUAGCUAGUUGGCGGGGUAAAGGCCCACCAAGGCGACGAUCCGUAGCUGGUCUGAGAGGAUGAUCAGCCACACUGGAACUGAGACACGGUCCAGACUCCUACGGGAGGAAGCAGUGGGGAAUAUUGGACAAUGGGCGCAAGCCUGAUCCAGCCAUACCGCGUGGGUGAAGAAGGCCUUCGGGUUGUAAAGCCCUUUUGUUGGGAAAGAAAAGCAGCAGGUUAAUACCCCGCUGUUCUGACGGUACCCAAAGAAUAAGCACCGGCUAACUUCGU